rnacentral:rRNA from 1 species
AGAGUUUGAUCAUGGCUCAGAUUGAACGCUGGCGGCAGGCCUAACACAUGCAAGUCGAGCGGUAGAGAGAAGCUUGCUUCUCUUGAGAGCGGCGGACGGGUGAGUAAUGCCUAGGAAUCUGCCUGGUAGUGGGGGAUAACGUUCGGAAACGGACGCUAAUACCGCAUACGUCCUACGGGAGAAAGCAGGGGACCUUCGGGCCUUGCGCUAUCAGAUGAGCCUAGGUCGGAUUAGCUAGUUGGUGAGGUAAUGGCUCACCAAGGCGACGAUCCGUAACUGGUCUGAGAGGAUGAUCAGUCACACUGGAACUGAGACACGGUCCAGACUCCUACGGGAGGCAGCAGUGGGGAAUAUUGGACAAUGGGCGAAAGCCUGAUCCAGCCAUGCCGCGUGUGUGAAGAAGGUCUUCGGAUUGUAAAGCACUUUAAGUUGGGAGGAAGGGUUGUAGAUUAAUACUCUGCAAUUUUGACGUUACCGACAGAAUAAGCACCGGCUAACUCUGUGCCAGCAGCCGCGGUAAUACAGAGGGUGCAAGCGUUAAUCGGAAUUACUGGGCGUAAAGCGCGCGUAGGUGGUUUGUUAAGUUGGAUGUGAAAUCCCCGGGCUCAACCUGGGAACUGCAUUCAAAACUGACUGACUAGAGUAUGGUAGAGGGUGGUGGAAUUUCCUGUGUAGCGGUGAAAUGCGUAGGUAUAGGAAGGAACACCAGUGGCGAAGGCGACCACCUGGACUAAUACUGACACUGAGGUGCGAAAGCGUGGGGAGCAAACAGGAUUAGAUACCCUGGUAGUCC